GGGGUGCUCGAGUGGCGAACGGGUGAGUAACACGUGAGUAACCUGCCCUUGACUUUGGGAUAACUUCAGGAAACUGGGGCUAAUACCGGAUAGGAGCUCCUGCUGCAUGGUGGGGGUUGGAAAGUUUCGGUGGUUGGGGAUGGACUCGCGGCUUAUCAGCUUGUUGGUGGGGUAGUGGCUUACCAAGGCUUUGACGGGUAGCCGGCCUGAGAGGGUGACCGGCCACAUUGGGACUGAGAUACGGCCCAG
rnacentral:rRNA from 1 species